CCUACGGGAGGCAGCAGUGAGGAAUAUUGGUCAAUGGGCGCGAGCCUGAACCAGCCAAGUAGCGUGAAGGAUGACUGCCCUACGGGUUGUAAACUUCUUUUAUAAAGGAAUAAAGUGUGGGACGUGUCCGAUGUUGUAUGUACCUUAUGAAUAAGGAUCGGCUAACUCCGUGCCAGCAGCCGCGGUAAUACGGAGGAGCCGAGCUUUAGCCGGAUUUAGUGGGGUUAAAGGGUGCGUAGGCGGCCUUUUAAGUCAGCGUUGAAAGUCGGGGGCGCACCCAUAGAUUUGCCGUUGAAACUGGGGGGCUUGAUUAUGUUUGCGGCAGGCGGCCUGCGUGGUGUAGCGGU
rnacentral:rRNA from 1 species